rnacentral:lncRNA from 1 species
CCAGGCCGCAACGCGCCGUUUCUCCACACGGGACUGACCGCAGCAGCCGGCGGCCCGCCGGGGAGCCUGGCCCGCCUCGCUCCGCCCCUCAGCGCUCCUCCCGGCCCGCCCAGCCACCCCAGCCGGGCCCUGGAGGCUCCGCUCCGAGCCCGGCGCUCCCGCCCCCGCGCCUCAGCCCGCCCCGGACGCGGCCCCCGANNNNNNNNNNNNNNNNNNNNNNNNNNNNNNNNNNNGCGGCAGCGGGGAGAGGCGGGCCGAGCUGAGGGGCGGAGCGGGGUCGCGCCGAGCGCCGGCGUGCUGCGACCGACGGCGUGGGCCCGGGGCGGCCGGCGGAGGCCGCGGCGGAGGAGCUGGCCGGAGGCGUUCACGGAGCGUUUUGGAGAGCGAGCCUCCGGGGAGGGGUUGCUGGCGGAGGUGAACGCGGGCGCGGUUUCCCCGUCCCUCCCUUCCGCAGGAAGCGAGGGGGUCGUGACUGUGGUGCCGGGUGGGGGAGCCUCGUGUUUCUGGCUUUUUUUGCCUCGUUGCUUUGUUUCCUAUUCCUGCGUGCAUGUUUUCCUCAGUAGGGCCCGUUUUGAAAAGAAAAACGUAAUUUUCAGCUGUGAAAUCUCUCACGUUGUGCUGCUUUCUCAUACACAAGUCUGUUGCUUGACUGUGCUGGAUACCCCCCGUAAAAGGUCAUCAGAGCAUCCCUAAUUGCAAGCUUUUAAAAACGAUAACCCAGAACUCUUUUUUUUUUUUUUUAACCUAUCAUAAGCUUCGAUUUUUCACUCAGUCACACAUAAGAUUUCUAGUGGUCAUUUCCAUUCUUUAGGUGUUUCCACUUGUUGGUUGUUGUCACUGUGAUGGUAAGCAAAAGGGAUCAGAUAACUGCAUGGACAAUAUCUCCAUAAAGGUCUAAUAAAACAAGUCGGCAGAUCUUCCGUCUUGCAUUCCUGGGGCAACCAUUGUGGGUGCUUGGGAGCAGAGGGGAAUUGCAGCCCUGCCCUCCCCAGACAGUUUCUCCAGUUCCCAGUAUUGGAGGCAGACAACGGGGCUGGGUCACCCGUCGCCUGGGUCGCCCUGCAGGGCAUUUCAUAUGCUCUUCUGAGAGUACCAAGAGAGGGACACAGUGCUUUGUUGUAUUUUGAAAUACUUACUCAGUUUUACUGUUCUCUGAAAACUACUUACGUGUUUUUGACUGUCAUUGUGGAUAACAGCUUCACAGUUCACAUUGCAUUGAUACAACUCUGUUGAAUGCAUUUCCCCUGCUGGCUUCCAGAUGAGGGUUUAACUGAAGGAAAAUCCCUCCAGCUAGAUGUUGCCUUAUGGCAGUACACACUGCUGGGGGAAUUUCAGCAAAGAUGGGGUGGGGUUUAGUUUUUUGGGUUUUGGUGUUGUUUUUUUAUAUCAAGGUAGCUUACUACCAGUACACAGAGAACUGAUAUGACUAGCAGAAUGGUAUUUUGUGAAUAUCUGAAGGCUGCCAUUCAAGAGAUGUAUGUAGAUGCUAUCCCUAUGCCUACUUUGGUAACUAGGAAACCUAGGAGAGAGUCAUGUCCUAUUUCUCCUGAUUUGAAACCUGAGCUGCUCUUACUCUGUAAGCUUGGCUGUGCAACAAUGAAGAUACUACUAGUUUAGCAAGGAGAUGGUGAGUAGUAACCCAAAGAGGAGUAUGGGGACUUACUGAGUUACCAGGCCCUGGUAACCAGGCCUGCCUUCAUGUCUUCACCGUUACUCUGGACUAGAUCAAUCAGAGCUAGAACAAUUACACUUUCUCUGCUCCCGUUUCAUUUUUCUCAUCCCUAAAGGUGUGGUCUAGGUGACACAAGAGUAAAAGACCCCUUCUGAAUUUUAUGGGGGCCUGUAGAGGAUUGCCUUCCUUCACUGAAAGCAUAAUAAUAGAGCCUGCAGAUUUCUAUCUUACCUUCUAAAUGCAGACAAACAAAAGACACAGAUUAAAGAAUGAAAAGCCAAAUUAAAGUUUUAAAAAUCCUUAAUAAAUUCAGGAACUUGGAGCUUGUUUCAUGUUGUGAUUAUGCUUUUUUUUUUUCUUUCACGUUAUAAUACUGCUACAAUGCAGCUGCGCAACAGUGAAAACUGAGUGGUCCUUCAGCUUGUGGUUCUGGAGGGUUUUUGGUUUUAAAAAAAUCUGUAAUACCUCCACCUGCUUUCAUUCAGCUUCAGAAGGGUCUCUUGUCACUGGUGUUGCCUUGCUGUCCCGUCUGCUGGGGUUUUUUAUUGAUUUUAAAAAAGAAAAGAAAAAAGCAGCACAGCAUGUGCCUUGUGGAGGAUUUGUUAAGGAUUAGCACUGAGCUGCUAAUGUGAGGAGGGUGAUAGUUGCCAGCAUCAAUUUGAUAUGUGAUGUUUCUCUUCUGCAUUCCCAAGAGAAACUUCUGGUAAUGAUGUCCACAGCAAACAGUACAGUAUUUGAACUAGUGUUUGUUUAUCUCUUUCUUCCUUUCACAGCUAGCGCGGCA